CCUACGGGAGGCAGCAGUGAGGAAUAUUGGUCAAUGGACGAGAGUCUGAACCAGCCAAGUAGCGUGAAGGAUGACUGCCCUAUGGGUUGUAAACUUCUUUUAUAUGGGAAUAAAAUGUUCACCGUGUGGGAUUUUGUAUGUACCAUAUGAAUAAGGAUCGGCGAACUCCGUGCCAGCAGCCGCGGUAAUACGGAGGAUCCGAGAGUUAUCCGGAUUUAUUGGGUUUAAAGGGAGCGUAGGUGGAUUGUUAAGUAAGUUGUGAAAGUGUGCGGCUCAACCGUAAAAUUGCAGUUGAAACUGGCAGUCUUGAGUACAGUAGAGGUGGGCGGAAUUCGUGGUGUAGCGGUGAAAUGCUUAGAUAUCACGAAGAACUCCGAUUGCGAAGGCAGUUCACUGGACUGCAACUGACACUGAGGCUCGAAAGUGUGGGUAUCAAACAGGAUUAGAUACCCGGGUAGUC
rnacentral:rRNA from 1 species